rnacentral:rRNA from 1 species
CGGGUGAGUACCACGUGGGAAUCUGCCCAUUAGUGGGGGAUAACUCGGGGAAACUCGAGCUAAUACCGCAUAAUCCCUACGGGGGAAAGCAGGGGAUCUUCGGACCUUGCGCUGAUGGAUGAGCCCGCGUCGGAUUAGCUUGUUGGUGGGGUAAUGGCCCACCAAGGCGACGAUCCGUAACUGGUCUGAGAGGAUGGCCAGUCACACCGGGACUGAGACACGGCCCGGACUCCUACGGGAGGCAGCAGUGGGGAAUCUUGGACAAUGGGCGCAAGCCUGAUCCAGCCAUGCCGCGUGUGUGAAGAAGGCCUUCGGGUUGUAAAGCACUUUCAGUAGGGAGGAAGGCUUUGGGCUAAUACCCUGGAGUACUUGACGUUACCUACAGAAGAAGCACCGGCUAAUUUCGUGCCAGCAGCCGCGGUAAUACGAAAGGUGCGAGCGUUAAUCGGAAUUACUGGGCGUAAAGCGCGCGUAGGCGGUGUGUUAAGUCGGAUGUGAAA